rnacentral:rRNA from 1 species
GAUGAACGCUGGCGGCGUGCCUAAUACAUGCAAGUCGAGCGAACAGACGAGGAGCUUGCUCCUCUGACGUUAGCGGCGGACGGGUGAGUAACACGUGGAUAACCUCCCUAUAAGACUGGGAUAACUUCGGGAAACCGGAGCUAAUACCGUAUAAUAUAUUGAACCGCAUGGUUCAAUGGUGAAAGACGGUUUUGCUGUCACUUAUAGAUGGAUCCGCGCCGCAUUAGCUAGUUGGUAAGGUAACGGCUUACCAAGGCAACGAUGCGUAGCCGACCUGAGAGGGUGAUAGGCCACACUGGAACGGAGACACGGUCCAGACGACUAAGGGAGGCAGCAGUAGGGAAUCGUCCGCAAUGGGCGAAAGCCUGACGGAGCAACGCCGAGUGAGUGAUGAAGGUCUUCGGAUCGUAAAACUCUGUUAUUAGGGAAGAACAAAUGUGUAAGUAACUAUGCACGUCUUGACGGUACCUAAUCAGAAAGCCACGGCUAACUACGUG